ACAUCGGCCGAAGGACUCAAAGGCUAGGGGCCGGAAUCAUCGGAAGGCUCAUUCGCUCACAGGCCGUGGUUGCCUCAUCAUCGCAGCGUGGGUACAACUGUCCUCACCCAGGCUUUCAAGAUCCUGGGUUGUCUAGCUGCUGGCUGUCCUGAUCACACCUCUGCAUCCCAGGUUCUGGAUCAUUCUAAGCCACCCGGUUUGUUCCUGCCUUGGAGCCAUUGCACUCGGCUUUUCCUUCUUCCGGAAGGAAUUUUUCAUUUCGCUUGAGUAAACACCGUGCUGAUCGGGAUUGCCGAAUGACUUGGAAGCCGCAGGCAACCUGGAAAUGGCAGCAGGAGCUGCCAAAGAGCCCCGACGAAAGCGAGCGCUCUGUAGCCAAAGGACCAGGAAAAGUUCAGCCAAGAGAGACCACUUUUAGACAGAACCUUCUCUACUCCAGCUGAACACCAUGGGGAAAACAUGGGAGCUCGCUCCCCCCAGCACAGGCUGAGUGAAGGGUCCCGACU